UCCCUAUUUUCCCUAGAUCCAAUCCCAAACACAAAUAUCAGAUUUUUUAAAACCCUCUUGAGAUUGGGAACAGUGCCACCACACAAUUGAUUAGAUUUGGGAAUUAAUUCCCAAAAUACGCAAAUCAUCAUUUUUUAAGAUCGGUAAAUCAGUUUCGAGACCCGUAAAUCAACGAAUUCCCAAAAAUUGAUUAGUAUUCUGAAAUCUAUCACUACUGAUUGGAAAGCAAUUUUGGUUCAAACUUGAGUGUAUAUUUUCAUAUUCUUCACAACACUGUCUUUCAUCCUCCGAUGACAUGUCAAGAGAUUUAGAGGCGAUUUUUCCUCUCCUUCGUUUCUCCAUGGCUAGAAGAAAUGAAUCUUAAAUUCCUUCAUCUUACUCUAAUCCGUUUGCAGAAUCUUUUAAUAUUGCUAGUUUAUCAGAGGCAAACAUUGGGUUUGGGGAUUUUCCACCUUUGGAGGUUUUUAGAGACCCUAAACCUAAUUCAACUUCAGAUCCAAAAUCAAUUUCAAUUUUGAAUCAAUCUCAGUCAGUUUUAAGCUAUGCUGGUUGUCUUGGUAGCAACAAUCUUCAAGCAAUCUCAUCAACCAAGCUUUCUUUUGAUGAAGCUAAGGAAAUUUAUGGAGUUUCUAUGCUGUUUCCAAUUCAGGAAUCAUAUUUGAGAGAGAGGAAGAAAGAAGAUGGUAGUUGAUGAAGAUGAUAAUAAUCCAUAAAAAGGAAGAAGGAAGACGGUAGUUGAUGAAGAUGAUAAUACUUAUGAAACAAAGCUACUCUACGGCAUGUUAAAGCAAACAUAUGGAUUAACAAACAUUCCAAACAUCCAGCACACCUAUUGAGAAGGAAACCAAGCAACAGACGGCUUAGCAAACUACGCUGCGGAUGGAAGCCAAACAGGAAAUUACUCCACCACAAUUUGAGAUAGAGCAAUCCCACCUUGCAUCAAUCAAAUUCUCUUAAAUGAUUUUAGAGGCAUCAAAUAUCCCCGUGUAAUUUCUCUUUAGUUGCUUUUUUAUGUCGUUCAUACUUCAAGAAAAAAAAAAAGUCCAAAAUCAAAUUUAUAAAUUAAUAAAGCUAUUCAACGG